CACCGCGGUUAUACGAGAGGCCCAAGUUGACAGACAUCGGCGUAAAGCGUGGUUAAGAUACCCUAAAACUAAAGCCGAAUGCCCUCCGGGCAGUUAUACGCAUCCGAAGGUACGAAGCUCCACCACGAAAGUGGCUUUAUCCCCCUGACCCCACGAAAGCUACGAAA
rnacentral:rRNA from 1 species